rnacentral:rRNA from 1 species
AACCGCCGUGCUAACCCCGGCGUAAGUCGGGGAGGCAAGCGUCUAAGGUAAGCCCAGUGACUGGGGCUAAGUCGUAACAAGGUAGCCGUAUCGGAAGGUGCGGCUGGAUCACCUCCUUU